UGAAAUCGGAUAUUGUUUUCCAACCAAACGUACGUGUGGGAGAUGCAGGCCGUUGGAUCACGGAGUAACGAGGGCCCCACUCUUCGAUCACUCGCCGCAACGGUCUUCGUGGUUACCGUGUCGUCGCGGGUCACAGUCGACGCCACCACCUCGCCUCCUCCCCCAUUCCAAUCCCAAACGCUUUGGCCCCACCAUCAUUUAUUUAGCAGGUUCGCAUAAUAUAUAAUACAAGGCUGCAGAAUGGAGUGGCCUCGCAAUUAACGACGCACACGAGCAGGGAGUUAAGGAUGUGUCUCGGAAUAUAUAUGUGUUUUCUCAUGAAUUAACACGCAAAAAAAAAAGAAAAAAAGGAAAAAAAAUGGUGUUUCUCGUUAUCGUCUUACUUUUACGUCCCUUGGAACCGUCGUCGCGUGCUUCUCUUUCCUCCGCUUCUUCGCGACCAAACACACAGCCGGAGGGAGGGAUUAGAUGAGAUCGCGGCAUCGGAAGGGAAGAUUUGAAGGGUUA
rnacentral:lncRNA from 1 species